rnacentral:rRNA from 1 species
AGAGUUGAUCAUGGCUCAGGAUGAACGCUGGCGGCGUGCCUAAUACAUGCAAGUCGAACGAGGUAGCAAUACCGAGUGGCGAACGGGUGAGUAACACGUAGGUAACCUGCCCUUAAGCUUGGGAUACCCAGAGGAAACUUUGGCUAAUACCGGAUAACAACAGAGAAGGCAUCUUCUUUGCUUGAAAGGCCCCUUCAAGGGUCACUUAAGGAUGGACCUGCGGCGCAUUAGCUAGUUGGUGAGAUAACAGCCCACCAAGGCGAGGAUGCGUAGCCGAACUGAGAGGUUGAUCGGCCACAUUGGAACUGAGACACGGUCCAAACUCCUACGGGAGGCAGCAGUAAGGAGUUUUCGGCAAUGGGGGAAACCCUGACCGAGCAACGCCGCGUGAGCGAUGACGGCCCUAUUGGGUUGUAAAGCUCUGUUGUAAGCCAUGAAUGACAGCUUGAGGAAAUGCAAGUUGUUUGACGACAGCUUACCAGAAAGCCACGGCUAACUACGUGCCAGCCGCCGC